CAAGGGGAUAUGCUUGCUGGCUUCCAUCCCCCAAAUCCUGUCAACCUGGGCGUUCUCUUUCAGCCUCCCGAUGUUCAGACAGAUGUCAAGGGAGCAGUAUGCCUGAAGGCAGAGAAGAGUCUCAGACCUGGGAUAUCAACACUGAAUCUGGAAGGAGCCAUGAACUCAAAAGUGCCUGAUGUGGCAGAAAAACAAACCAGUCGUGUUCCAGAAGGAAGAAAGCAAAGACAUAAGGAUAAAAACUGCCUCUCUGAGAAGAAGGAUCCAUGGCUGUCCUGCAGGAGGUCCCUGGAGAGCCCAAACCCACAGUUGCAAGGAUGCGAUGAGGAACAAAGUGAAUCUAGAGACAACCACAGUGUGACUGAUCCCAAAGAACAAAUCCCGAGCCAGAACUUGGGGAAUGAUGGCUGCGAAAGCAAAGAAACUGGUGAGGAAUAUCGUGUUCUCCCACAAUAUUCUGAGGAAGUAUGCCUUUUAAAAUUGAAUGAAGAUUCAAAUCGUGUCUUCACCAAGUCAAGAAUGGAUGAAAAUAAGCUUCUUUCAAAUCAUGAACUACUUCCUAGAGACAAUGAAUUUGAGACCCGAAGUGUUCAAAAAAAUGAACCUGAAAAAGGCUUCCUCCCCUUAGCACUGAAGGGGAGCCAAAUAUUAGUUAAAAGUGAACCGGUUAUAAAGGGAAGAAGUCAACGAUUACCUACAGAAGAGGAAGACUUUUGCUCUCAACAGAAGGUUAAUGACAGCCAUAUAAAUCAAGAAAGGUCUGUGCUGAAUUCAGAUGGCAUCAGAAACCCCACAUCUCAACCACCGGAGCCGGAAAGGACGCUAACCCAAGAGCAGAGGAUAAAGGAGAGCUGGAAGGAAGAACUUGGCAUCCUGAGCAUUGAACAGAAAAGUGCCCAGAUCUGCAAAAUCUUUUCCCUCCAAGAUAGUUCAAUGAUCAAAGAAAAGGAAGAAAAGGAAGAAGACCUGGCCCAUUGUGAGAAGAGUGGCACUGGAGGAAAUAACUUACCUAUACUUCUGGAUUUGGCCAUGUUGGCCUCCUCCGAGGAAGGGUCUGCACUAAGAACCUAUGCAGAAGACCUUACUGAGGAAGUGGCAACGUCAUUCCUUAAUCCCUCCCAGGAAUUUGAAAGUGUAGAGUCAGAUUCAUCCUUUGGAUUUCAAAAGGUGUCUGCGGUCUUAAUCAACAUUUCAGAGAGCUCUUUUUCAGAGAAUGACAUAGAGCAUGAUGAGGAUACAGACCUCGACCAGUCAGAGGCAUCCACUGAUGAAGCCCAAACAUGUGAUAAGUGGUUUCCCCAUCCGCUGCCUAAGAAACACAGAGUUAGUAAUGAAGGAAACAAGUUAAUGACCAGGAAUUACUGCAGUCGACCACAGCCUGGUAGUGGGUCCAGUUACAAAACCACUCUAGGCUUGAGAAAGUUGGAAGGAAAGAGUGGUGUUAUGGAAAAUGUCUUUGCAUCUGACUCUAAUUUGGACAGUGUAGCUGGCAGGAAGAAGCAACAGGAAAGCGUAUUAUGUACAGAGUCGCCAUUGCUUCUACCUUACAAACCUACCCAGAAAGGAAAGGGAGGAUUUUCAGAAGCCUCUGAAAGAGUUUGGCAAAAGGACAAAGGAAAGAAUGUCUUUUCUGAGCAAGAUGCAGGAGCUGACUCUUCAUCUGGGACUUCCCCAUACUCGGAAAAAUUUUCUGGGCUAGUCGAAGAUUUGGAACAACAGGUUUUUCUCUCUGUUGUUGGCAGAGGAAUAGGGCAGAAAGACCUUGGAAUUGAUUUUCCAUCUGGACAGAAUAAGGAAAAAUCCAGAUGUCCUUCUCCAGAAAGCUCCUCUAUGUCACUUCAACCUAAAAAUUCCAAAGUAAAAUGCCAAGUCUUUUCAUUUCCUUUAAGAACUCUCCUGACUCCCCACAUCUUGCCAGCCUUAGAUACCAAACAUAGCUCUGGAGAAGAUCUGGGAGGAGCACCUUUUUCUGCGGACAUUAUAUCUCAAAAGACAUUAGCAACUAGGCAGUCCAUGCCCCAUAUAGCUGAACUUGAUGCAUCUGAUGCCAAAAACUUACCAACAAGGAUCGAAGAUUGUGAAAAGGAAUCUGUAACAGAGCUACCACUCUCAAAGAAAGCUAACCUAGAGCCAGUUCUUUCUAUUUCACCUAGAGAGCUCACAUCUCAUCCAAAGAACUGUUCAGCUAGGAAUGGAGAUGAUGACAGGGUUAUCCAGGGCAGAGAUCUUCCCUAUCUCAGUAAAGAUACCUUGUCUGAAAUACUGUCACCGGUUAAUGAAGUGCUUUCCUACGGAAGUGCUGACCUGCCGUCAUCCAACCAGAGAGAUUUCUCGAUUCCCAGUGAAGAACUCCCGACACCUCCUGAGGAGCAUUUUUGGACACAGAAUGACGAGACCAACUUUGACUUAGAUUUCCCUUCUCCACCAGAAGAAGUGCUGUCUUCAGAAGAUAGACAUUCACCUCAUACUCUCGCUGAAGAGUCAUCCAUUAAUACUCAAGAAAUGCCCUUGUCACCCGACGAUAUUUUGUCAGAAAAUUCGUUCCCACUGCCUCUGGAACUGGAGAACUCAUGUUGUAUUCAGGAUAGGCAUAACUUGGUCUGUGCCGGAGCCAAAGUAAAUAGUUUUGAGGAAAAGGAGGAAUCACCGCAACAUUUAAUACAGAAAGAAAGCAUCACCAGCCAGACGCAAGAAUUAACCUGUUUGUCGACUCCGUCUUUUCACCAAAAUGUCUGUAAAAGUCCAGAUGUUUUAGCAAGAUCACCAGCACCCCUUUACAAAAUUGAAGAAGACAAUAAUUCCCUGGCAAUGUAUAAUACUGGAAACGGAGUACUGGUGGAGGCCAUUGAGACUGGUACUCUGAAAUUUAAAGAGUGUCCCCAAUUUGCCCAGGACCUCAAGAUUGCUGUGGAAUUUGGUGUGAAGAAAGGUUGUGAUGGAAACCAGGAAAGAGUAGAAUGCUUGGAGGGUGCCAGGAAUUGUGAUGAGUUUGUUAGAGUAGAUCAAAUUUCACUUUUUUUGGCAGACCAAGGUGAUAAUUCAGCCUACAUUGGGGAUGAAAAUCCAUUUUCUGCCAGCGUACCCUCAGAGCACAGUAAAUGCCUUGAGGAUGACAGUUUUUUUAUGGAAAUACAACCGAAAGGAAGCUCUUCAGAAUCAGCAGAUAAUCCAUCUAGAGCAAUAGAGUCCUCAUCAGUGGGAGCAGAACGUGGUGUAACCAAUAAUCAAUCUGUGCCUAACCAAUUGACUUUUCCAGUCCCUCAAUUUUUACGCAUCAGAAAAGAAAAAAAGCCGUCGGCAUCCCCCAAGAAUGAGGAGGAAGAAUUACUUGAACAUGAUGUCCUGCCAGUGAAAGACCAGGAAAGUGACCUUAAAAAUAAUUCUGGGGAGCAGAAAGUUAACCAUAGCUUAUUCCAGAGCCAAGAAAGAGAUGAAAUUGUGGACAUUGUCUCCACUGAGCUCACCAAAAGAAUAUUAGAAGAUACUUUAGCUGUAUUUUCUGAGUUACCUAAUCAGGCCACCCAUCGCUAUGCAAAUCAGCUCGGAUAUAAAUCCAGCUGACAAGGGAAGUUCAGUAAUGGAAAUGGUACUGUCAGCAGUGUCAUCUUCAAUUACAAAGGACUACUAAAUGCAAAUGUGGUUUGCUUUGAAAAUUAAAAAAGUCAAUUCUGACAAUAGCUAAACUAAAAAGAGCUAGGCAGAAAAGGGUGUUUCUGACCUAAUAAUAAUUAUGGUACUUGUUAAGCCCUUAAUAUAUGCCAAACACUCUUCUAAAGUACCAGGGUAAAUACAAGUUAAUCAGGAUGGACACAGUCCCUGUCCCACAUUAGGGUCACAGUCCAGUCGGAGAUUAAUGUAUUAACUUGUAUCUACCCCAGCACUUAUCACAGUGCUUGGCACCUCGUAAGCAACUGUAUAAGUACCACAAUUAAUCAUUAAGGUGCUUACUGAAGAAAACCAGCUAUGUGAAUUCUUCUGAAAAAUUACAUGAAAUCUUUAUUAUCUUAUGCUUUUAAGAAGCUUAAUUCUGGGGCUUCUAAGCUAAGGAACCAAAACAGGAAACUAAUGCUGAGAGAGAUGCUAAUCCCAAAAAUCUAGAGGAAAAUGAGUAGUAAAAAAAACCCCAGAGAUUUUUUUGAGGUGUUCCACCUGUAACUGUCAAAAGUCAGAUUAUUUGGGGAGUAUAAAUUGGUCUCAACUAAACUUCUUUUCCUUGUUUGAUUACUUGUUUUUAGGAACUAUUCUGGCUCUUCCUCCUUUACAUUUAUUUUUAAUGAUCUCUCCUUACAGAGUAUAGAUUUGGUCCUUGCCAAGAAAGAUUAUGCUCUGAAACUUUUAUAGAGCAGAUCAGUAAGAGAAGAAUCCCAGCUCUGCUGCUUGCCAGCUGUGUGACUUUGGGCAAGUCACUUAACUUCUCUGUGCCUCAGUUACCUCAUCUGUAAAAUGGGGAUUAAAACUGUGAGCCCCAUGUGGGACAACCUGAUUACCUUGUAUCCCCCCAGCGCUUAGAACAGUGCUUGGCACAUAGUAAGUGCUUAACAAAUACCACCAUUAUUAUUAUUAUUAUCAAGUAACUGUAAAGCUUUACUUUUCUUUUAGUGAUUGACAAGUGAUCCCGAGUAGAAUUUCAGGAAUUGAAAAUUCAAACAUUUUCCCAUAACUCCUAGAAAUUCUGGGUUCCUGCUUCUUCAAAAAUGUCCAGAGAAAUUAGGGUUUUUGGAAGUCUAUAUUGAAUCACUUCAUAUGUAUGGUGAUUGAUUUAGGUAGCCGAAUUCUGGGAGUCAGGCAAGCUUCCCAAAUUUCUGAACAAUAUCGGCAUACUUUAGGUGGUAGUUUCUGAAGCACACAGGGAUGUCCCUUUUGAAUGAUGAAAUAAAAGAUUUACAUACUAAUGAGGAGGACAGAUGCAGGAUGAACAGUUAAUCAGAAACUUCCAGUAGCACACGGAGUGCUAAAGCCAUUUCCUAAUUAAUAAUAAAAUUACUGGCACAAACUGUACUACUUCAAGAUGUGCUUCCUGGUCAGAAAUAUAAAUUUCUAGGCCAGCCUGCUCAGACAGAAACAGCAUCCACUCUGCCAGCUGUGCAAUCAGAAACUCAUGAUUCUGGCAAGUGGGUAACUGCCACUUGCCUGCUGUGUGACCUUGGGGAAGUCACUUCACUUCAUGAUGCCUCAGUUUCCUAACCUGUAAAGUGGGGAUCCAUUAACCUAUCUUCCCUCUUAAACUUACACUGUGAUCUUCUCAUGGGACAGGAACUGUGUCUGACCUGAUUAUCUUAUAUCUACUCCAAAGCUUAGCACAGUGCUGGGCACAUAGUAAGUGCUUACCAAAUACCGUAAUUAUUAUAGUAGGCAUAGUGGGCUUCUGUCAGGGUGCUCUACAUUGAGUCUUUCUGCCUCAGUUUGCUUCUUUUGUUGGCCUUUACUGGUCUUCUUAGAAAUAAUAGUGACUGUUUCCAGUAGCAGCACAGUAAACUACAAGUGAAUCUACAGAAGUUAUCAAAGGCAGCGGGCCUGUGAAAAUCACCCUUGGGUCCAUUUCAUUCUCUACCACAUGCACUUAUGCACGUAAAGCAGGCAUUUUAUUUAUUUUUCCCCUUCCCGAGAGCCACUAGUUUCCUGGUGCAAAUGAUUAGACAGAGGUACUAGGAAAUUGCUGUUGAUUCAAAAAUAUAAAAGGAUUUCCUGUGAGAGUCAGGAGAUGAUUAAUUGAGAGAACCAAUAUACCCAUUUAAAGAAAAAUCUUAAAACCUUCAAUCAGGUAGUGGCAUAUUGCAGUUCUUCAUAUUCAAAGAUGACCCUGAGCAUGGUAUUAGCGUUGAAGUACAGGAUGGCCCAUUUGAAGCUAUUAAGUGAAUAUGAAUAAAUGAAUGAUCGUUGACUGGGCCAGAGUUAUCUGAACAGGUGCAAGCAGAAAGAUAGGAGAAAGAGUUAAUUGAUAGAGCUUUUGUGAUUGUAAACUGGAGUUUCGUAUGCUUGUGUCAGAGCCUGUUUGGAGAGGGAAAAAUACACUUAUUCAUCUGCAGACCAUUUGUGGUUUUUCGGUGCAGUUUAUGCCUUACUUGAAUUUCUAAUUUCAUACCACAAAAUUGGAAUCAGUGAGAGGGAUAUAGUUUAGCAGAAAGAUUGCAGGACUGGAAAUUAGAGGAACUAUGUUCUAUCCUUGUUCCUUCCCGUAACUUGUCGGGCCCUUUCCUCUUUUUGCACCUGUUCCCCAGUAUGUAAAUUGGGGAUGGAAAUCCCUGCUCCUCCCAGUCUCCUGGGCAAUUUAUGUGAAAUGCCUUGAACUCUUUGGGAAAAAGUCAAAGCAAUAUUAUUAGUGACCAGAAGCAUCAUUGAAUCAGUGCUUUGUUUAUAGAUGAUUUGUUGCUUAGCAUUAGAUUAAACUUUCUCAAUAUGAAUCACUUAUGACUCAUAAAAUCAUUUAGGUAAUCAAUAUAUUUAAAGAUCCAAGUACGUUUUAUUUAGUAUCAGAUAAAGUCACAGAAUGAGUUGUAAAAAUACACAAAGAUUGAAGUGUGUCUGUUGAGUUUAAAAUCCUCAACUUUUGGGUUAUUUCAUUUAAAACGCUGUCAAAUUUAAGAGCUUUUCUGUGUGGUUAAAAUUUCAAAAUACAGAAAUUUUGCAUUACCCUUUUCAUAUUGAUUUGUAUCUAGUUUUCUGGACAAAUUAGUCUUUUUUUAAUUUUUCUAUUUAUUGCUGACUCCUUGUUUUCUGGACAAAUUAGUCUGUAAUUUUUUAUUCGUCUCUGGCUUCUCUGGAUUUAUGGUAUUAUGUAGAAAAGAAUUAUGUAUUUUCACUCACACUACUUGGCACUGUAAUAAAUCUAUGAUAUUAAAAACUGCACCUAUCCCUCUCAAGUUCAAU
rnacentral:lncRNA from 1 species